rnacentral:lncRNA from 1 species
AAAAAUUCACCCACUGUUAGUUGGUUCAGUGGUAUCUGGCAUUGAACUCGGUAGGGCAGAUUACGAUCUGAUCCUCCACAACUGCAGUUGGGUCAAAUAAAAGGGUUUACACAAAUUUAUGUGUCAGGAACCCCAUGUUUGGAUCAUAAUCACUAACAGGUCACUCUGCUAUGAAGCAUGUACAGAUAACGGGCUUAAUGUGAUUGCGCCUGAAUGAAAAGGACACAAAAAGAGAUGAAGAGGAAGGCUUAGGUAUUGUGGGAUAAUAUGGGUUGGUUA